rnacentral:rRNA from 1 species
UUGGUUAAGCUACUAAGAGCACACGGAGGAUGCCUAGGCGCCAGGAGCCGACGAAGGACGUGGCGAACAACGAAAAGGCCUCGGGGAGCUGUAAGCAAGCGUUGAUCCGGGGGUGUCCGAAUGGGGAAACCCGGCUGUGGUAAUGCACAGUCACUUCCAUCUGAAUACAUAGGGUGGAUAGAGGCAGACCAGGGGAACUGAAACAUCUAAGUACCCUGAGGAAGAGAAAACAAGAGUGAUUCCGUCAGUAGCGGCGAGCGAACGCGGAACAGCCUAAACCGAAGAGCUUGCUCUUCGGGGUUGUGGGACGUCUUACAUGGAGUUACAAAGGAAUAGGGUAAACGAAGAGGUCUGGAAAGGCCCGCCAGAGAAGGUAACAGCCCUGUAAUUGAAAUUCGAUUCCCUCCAAGACGGAUCCCGAGUAGUGCGGGGCACGUGAAACCCCGUAUGAAUCCGGCAGGACCAUCUGCCAAGGCUAAAUACUCCCUGGCGACCGAUAGUGAAACAGUACCGUGAGGGAAAGGUGAAAAGCACCCCGGAAGGGGAGUGAAACAGUGCCUGAAACCGUGUGCUUACAAGAAGUCAGAGCCCAUUUUAGGGGUGAUGGCGUGCCUUUUGUAGAAUGAACCGGCGAGUUACGUUUAACGUGCAAGGUUAAGGCGAGGAGCCGGAGCCGCAGCGAAAGCGAGUCUGAAUAGGGCGCUUAAGUACGUGGGCGUAGACCCGAAACCGGGUGAUCUACCCCUGUCCAGGGUGAAGGUGCGGUAACACGCACUGGAGGCCCGAACCCACGAACGUUGAAAAGUUCGGGGAUGAGGUGGGGGUAGCGGAGAAAUUCCAAUCGAACUCGGAGAUAGCUGGUUCUCCCCGAAAUAGCUUUAGGGCUAGCCUCGGUGAAUGAGAGUAAUGGAGGUAGAGCACUGAUUGGGUGCGGGGCCCGCAAGGGUUACCAAGCUCAGUCAAACUCCGAAUGCCAUCUACUUGUCGCCGGGAGUCAGACAGUGAGUGCUAAGAUCCAUUGUCAAAAGGGAAACAGCCCAGACCAUCAGCUAAGGUCCCCAAGUGUGUGUUAAGUGGGAAAGGAUGUGGAGUUGCACAGACAACCAGGAUGUUGGCUUAGAAGCAGCCACCAUUGAAAGAGUGCGUAAUAGCUCACUGGUCGAGUGACUCUGCGCCGAAAAUGUAACGGGGCUAAACACACCACCGAAGCUAUGGCUUGAUGCUUGCAUCAGGGGUAGGGGAGCGUUGUAUGUAGGUUGAAGGUUGAUCGUGAGGACAGCUGGACUGCAUACAAGUGAGAAUGCCGGUAUGAGUAACGAAAAGAUCAGUGAGAAUCUGAUCCGCCGAAAGCCCAAGGUUUCCUGAGGAAGGCUCGUCCGCUCAGGGUCAGUCGGGACCUAAGGCGAGGCCGACAGGCGUAGUCGAAGGACAACAGGUUGAUAUUCCUGUACCACCGUAAUCCGUUAUGAGCAAUGGGGGGACGCAGGAGGGUAGUGACGCGGACUGAUGGAUGUCCGUCCAAGCAGUGAGGCUGAUGCGUAGGCAAAUCCGCGCAUCGCAAGGCCAGGCUGUGAUGGGGAGCGAAAAUUGCAGUAGCGAAGGUCAUGAUCUCACACUGCCAAGAAAAGCCUCUAGCCAGGAGAAGGUGCCCGUACCGCAAACCGACACAGGUAGGCGAGAAGAGAAUUCUAAGGCGCGCGGAAGAACUCUCGUUAAGGAACUCGGCAAAAUGACCCCGUAACUUCGGGAGAAGGGGUGCCUCGGUAGGGUGAAUAGCCCGAGGGGGCCGCAGUGAAAAGGCCCAAGCGACUGUUUAGCAAAAACACAGGUCUGUGCGAAGCCGCAAGGCGAAGUAUACGGGCUGACGCCUGCCCGGUGCUGGAAGGUUAAGGGGAGCGGUUAGGGGUAACCCGAAGCUGUGAACCGAAGCCCCAGUAAACGGCGGCCGUAACUAUAACGGUCCUAAGGUAGCGAAAUUCCUUGUCAGGUAAAUUCUGACCCGCACGAAUGGCGUAACGACUUGGGCGCUGUCUCAACGAGAGAUCCGGUGAAAUUUUAAUACCUGUGAAGAUGCAGGUUACCCGCGACAAGACGGAAAGACCCCAUGGAGCUUUACUGCAGCUUGAUAUUGAACUUGGGUACGAUCUGUACAGGAUAGGUGGGAGCCUUGGAAGCCGGAGCGCCAGCUUCGGUGGAGGCGCCGUUGGGAUACCACCCUGAUCGUAUCUAGGUUCUAACCUGGUACCCUAAGCGGGUACGGGGACCGUGUCAGGCGGGCAGUUUGACUGGGGCGGUCGCCUCCUAAAGAGUAACGGAGGCGUCCCAAGGUUCCCUCAGAAUGGUUGGAAAUCAUUCGAAGAGUGCAAAGGCAGAAGGGAGCUUGACUGCGAGACCUACAAGUCGAGCAGGGACGAAAGUCGGGCUUAGUGAUCCGGUGGUACCGCAUGGAAGGGCCAUCGCUCAACGGAUAAAAGCUACCCUGGGGAUAACAGGCUUAUCUCCCCCAAGAGUCCACAUCGACGGGGAGGUUUGGCACCUCGAUGUCGGCUCAUCGCAUCCUGGGGCUGAAGUAGGUCCCAAGGGUUGGGCUGUUCGCCCAUUAAAGCGGUACGCGAGCUGGGUUCAGAACGUCGUGAGACAGUUCGGUCCCUAUCUGUCGUGGGCGUAGGAAAUUUGAGAGGAGCUGUCCUUAGUACGAGAGGACCGGGAUGGACGUACCGCUGGUGCACCAGUUGUUCCGCCAGGAGCAUGGCUGGGUAGCUACGUACGGACGGGAUAAGCGCUGAAAGCAUCUAAGCGUGAAGCCCCCCUCAAGAUGAGAUUUCCCAAUAUGUAAGACCCCUUGAAGACGACGAGGUAGAUAGGUUGGAGGUGGAAGCACGGCAACGUGUGGAGCUGACCAAUACUAAUCGGUCGAGGGCUUAUCCAAAA